rnacentral:rRNA from 1 species
CCUACGGGUGGCAGCAGUGGGGGAUAUUGCACAAUGGGGGGAACCCUGAUGCAGCGACGCCGCGUGGGCGAUGGAGUGCUUCGGCAUGUAAAGCCCUAUCAGCAGGGAAGAAAAUGACGGUACCUGACUAAGAAGCCCCGGCUAAAUACGUGCCAGCAUCCGCGGUAAUACGUAUGGGGCAAGCGUUAUCCGGAUUUACUGGGUUUAAAGGGUUCGUAGGCGGGAUGCCAAGUCAGCGGUAAAAAUGCGGUGAUCAACGCCGGCGAGCCGUUGAAACUGGCGUUCUUGAGUGGGCGAGAAGUAUGCGGAAUACGUGGUGUAGCGGUGAAAUGCAUAGAUAUCACGCAGAACUCCGAUUGCGAAGGCAGCAUACCGGCGCCCUACUGACGCUGAGGCACGAAAGCGUGGGUAUCGAACAGGAUUAGAUACCCCUGUAGUC